rnacentral:tRNA from 1 species
UCCCUGAUAGCUCAGUUGGUAAAGAAUCUGCCUUCAAUGCAGGAGACCUAGGUUGGAUCCCUGGGUUGGGAA